GUGUCAGCCGCCGCGGUAAUACGAGGGGGGCUAGUGUUGUUCGGAAUCACUGGGCGUAAAGGGAGCGUAGGCGGGAGCCUAAGUUGGGUGUUUAAUUCCGGGGCCCAACCCCGGGCAUGCACUCAAAACUGGGUUUCUUGAAUAGGGGAGAGGUCGGUGGAAUUGGAGGUGUAGCGGUGGAAUGCGUAGAGAUCUCCAAGAACACCCGUUGCGAAGGCGGCCGACUGGACCCAUAUUGACGCUGAGGCUCGAAAGCAUGGGGAGCAAACAGGAUUAGAAACCCUCGUAGUCC
rnacentral:rRNA from 1 species